AUUGAACGCUGGCGGCAGGCCUAACACAUGCAAGUCGAGCGGAUGAAGGGAGCUUGCUCCUGGAUUCAGCGGCGGACGGGUGAGUAAUGCCUAGGAAUCUGCCUGGUAGUGGGGGAUAACGUCCGGAAACGGGCGCUAAUACCGCAUACGUCCUGAGGGAGAAAGUGGGGGAUCUUCGGACCUCACGCUAUCAGAUGAGCCUAGGUCGGAUUAGCUAGUUGGUGGGGUAAAGGCCUACCAAGGCGACGAUCCGUAACUGGUCUGAGAGGAUGAUCAGUCACCAUGGAACUGGGACACGGUCCAGACUCCUAAGGGAGGCAAGCGUGGGGAAUAUUUGAAAAUGGGCGGAAGCCCUAUCCCGGCAUGGCGCGUGUUGUGAGAAAGUCCUCCGAAUUGUAAGCACUUUAAGUUGGGAGGAAGGGCAGUAAGUUAAUACCUUGCUGUUUUGACGUUACCAACAGAAUAAGCACCGGCUAACUUCGUG
rnacentral:rRNA from 1 species